GGUACCUGAAGAAUAAGCACCGGCUAACUACGUGCCAGCAGCCGCGGUAAUACGUAGGGUGCAAGCGUUAACCGGAAUUACUGGGCGUAAAGCGUGCGCAGGCGGUUCUGUAAGAUAGAUGUGAAAUCCCCGGGCUCAACCUGGGAAUUGCAUAUAUGACUGCAGGACUUGAGUUUGUCAGAGGAGGGUGGAAUUCCACGUGUAGCAGUGAAAUGCGUAGAUAUGUGGAAGAACACCGAUGGCGAAGGCAGCCCUCUGGGACAUGACUGACGCUCAUGCACGAAAGCGUGGGGAGCAAACAGGAUUAGAUACCCUGGUAGUCCACGCCCUAAACGAUGUCUACUAGUUGUUGGGGACGAUAGUCCUUGGUAACGCAGCUAACGCGUGAAGUAGACCGCCUGGGGA
rnacentral:rRNA from 1 species